rnacentral:rRNA from 1 species
UACGGGGGGGGCAAGCGUUGUUCGGAAUUACUGGGCGUAAAGGGCUCGUAGGCGGCCAACUAAGUCAGACGUGAAAUCCCUCGGCUUAACCGGGGAACUGCGUCUGAUACUGGAUGGCUUGAGUUUGGGAGAGGGAUGUGGAAUUCCCGGUGUAGCGGUGAAAUGCGUAGAUAUCGGGAGGAACAUCAGUGGCGAAGGCGGCUACCUGGCCCAAUACUGACACUCAGGUGCGACAGCGUGGGGAGCAAACAGGG